rnacentral:rRNA from 1 species
GGCCGCUGGCGGCGUGCCUAAUACAUGCAAGUCGAGCGAACGGACGAGAAGCUUGCUUCUCUGAUGUUAGCGGCGGACGGGUGAGUAACACGUGGAUAACCUACCUAUAAGACUGGGAUAACUUCGGGAAACCGGAGCUAAUACCGGAUAAUAUUUUGAACCGCAUGGUUCAAAAGUGAAAGACGGUCUUGCUGUCACUUAUAGAUGGAUCCGCGCUGCAUUAGCUAGUUGGUAAGGUAACGGCUUACCAAGGCAACGAUGCAUAGCCGACCUGAGAGGGUGAUCGGCCACACUGGAACUGAGACACGGUCCAGACUCCUACGGGAGGCAGCAGUAGGGAAUCUUCCGCAAUGGGCGAAAGCCUGACGGAGCAACGCCGCGUGAGUGAUGAAGGUCUUCGGAUCGUAAAACUCUGUUAUUAGGGAAGAACAUAUGUGUAAGUAACUGUGCACAUCUUGACGGUACCUAAUCAGAAAGCCACGGCUAACUACGUGCCAGCAGCCGCGGUAAUACGUAGGUGGCAAGCGUUAUCCGGAAUUAUUGGGCGUAAAGCGCGCGUAGGCGGUUUUUUAAGUCUGAUGUGAAAGCCCACGGCUCAACCGUGGAGGGUCAUUGGAAACUGGAAAACUUGAGUGCAGAAGAGGAAAGUGGAAUUCCAUGUGUAGCGGUGAAAUGCGCAGAGAUAUGGAGGAACACCAGUGGCGAAGGCGACUUUCUGGUCUGUAACUGACGCUGAUGUGCGAAAGCGUGGGGAUCAAACAGGAUUAGAUACCCUGGUAGUCCACGCCGUAAACGAUGAGUGCUAAGUGUUAGGGGGUUUCCGCCCCUUAGUGCUGCAGCUAACGCAUUAAGCACUCCGCCUGGGGAGUACGACCGCAAGGUUGAAACUCAAAGGAAUUGACGGGGACCCGCACAAGCGGUGGAGCAUGUGGUUUAAUUCGAAGCAACGCGAAGAACCUUACCAAAUCUUGACAUCCUUUGACAACUCUAGAGAUAGAGCCUUCCCCUUCGGGGGACAAAGUGACAGGUGGUGCAUGGUUGUCGUCAGCUCGGUCGUGAGAUGUUGGGUUAAGUCCCGCAACGAGCGCAACCCUUAAGCUUAGUUGCCAUCAUUAAUUGGCACUCUAAGUUGACUGCCGGUGACAAACCGGAGGAAGGUGGGGAUGACGUCAAAUCAUCAUGCCCUUAUGAUUUGGGCUACACACGUGCUACAAUGGACAAUACAAAGGGCAGCGAAACCGCGAGGUCAAGCAAAUCCCAUAAAGUUGUUCUCAGUUCGGAUUGUAGUCUGCAACUCGACUACAUGAAGCUGGAAUCGCUAGUAAUCGUAGAUCAGCAUGCUACGGUGAAUACGUUCCCGGGUCUUGUACACCCCGCCCGUCACACCACGAGAGUUUGUAACACCCGAAGCCGGUGGAGUAACCUUUUAGGAGCUAGCCGUCGAAGGUGGGACAAAUGGGGG